GGCCCAGGGGCUCAGAGUUUACAGCUAGCCUGUGCCACUUUGGAACUGGUUUUUCUGUUCAGGACUUGACAGAUAAAGUCUCCAGCUUCCAGGAGCUUCUGAAGGUUCACACCCUUCGAGAAACAAAUCAGAGGAUACAGACAGGAGCUCUGAGAAGGCAGAAACCAGGAGUCCAUUCCUGUUGUCCAGUCAGCGCUUCACAGAGCGCCCGGAGCACAGAAGGCACGAACACUGAAGUAGUGGAUGGAGGAAGGUGGAGGAAGUUACCAUAGGUCUUCAUGCUCAGCUGAUUUCCCAGAGAAAUCUGCAAAAGGUGACUCUGAGGACAUCAGAUACCAAGAAACAGAAGGCCAGAAAAGCAGGAGUAUCCUGAGCAUGGUCAGGAUGACGUUUUGCCGCAGACCUUCCACACUGGUUCAGAAGUACCUUUUCCUGGCCUGGCAGAUGUUGAGAAGAAGCCAUUCUUCCUCACCUGCCCGGCCAGGCAACUCAUGGGCUUCAGAAGAGCCCAAGGGCCCAAGACAGGAGGUCCCACCAAGCUGGGAACUGGAGGGGACCCCAGAGCCAAGCCUCAACCUUGACAACCAGGAUUCUGGGGAAACAGGCCCAGAAAGUAAGAGAAUCAUCUGGCUUGGAGACAUGAAGCUCCAGGAGGUAACAAGAGCGCCAGAAAGGUGAGGGUUGGGGACCACCUUCUCCUGCCCAACCACGCAGGCAGACCAGUGCCACUGCGAGGCAGCCGGUGUCAGACACGAGAUUGUUCCUUCUAGGGGCUACCUGCAGAGAGUCCUACCCAGCAGCCCACCAAAAGCAAUCUUCAAGGGAAGCUAAGCCCGAGGCCAGUACAACUUCUGGGGAACUCCCCACUCCUCUGAAAAGCCUCUGCCUGUCCCUUUAGCUGCUCCCCCAGCUCAAUACCCGGGCUGCCACAGGGCCAGGACACGCGAGUCCUCCUGAACCCUACUUUAGUCUUUCAGGGCAGCUCUCCCUGGUGGCUGUUCCUCUUCUCUUUAUUAAAUUGCUUAAUUCCUCAUGUCCUUCGGGCCUUCUCAGGCCUCGCCAAAUCCGACUUCCUCAGCUGGGCCAGGGGUCCUCUUGGCUUCUGCGCCCUGCGCUCCCUUCCUGGCCUCUGUCAUAAUGCAGCAGGGUUGUGUCGUAACUCCCUCGACUGUCUCCUCAAUACGCACAUGUGGGCACUUUCAGGGCGGGGGCACUGUCUUUGCUCACCACUGCAAGCGCUGGACCUGGCACUCUGGCCUCAGUGGUUGUUUGCUGAAAGAAUAAAUGAAACCAAACAGUCCUCCCCAUGCCCUCUGGGAGAAUGGGUACCUGCCUUUGAUUACCUGCAGGGCCAUCAAGGUGUUGGCCAGGGCCUGGCCAUAGGUGUCAUGGCAGUGGACAGCCAGGGCAGCCACAGGUACCUCGUGCAUGACAGCAGACAGCAUGUCUUUCAUGAUCCCUGGGGUGCCCACGCCGAUUGUGUCCCCCAGGGAGAUCUCAUAGCAGCCCAUUGAGUACAACUUCUUGGCAACCUGGGGAAGCAAGCAGGCAUAUGGAGGACCCCAAGUCCCACCAGCCAGGGGGCCCAGGGCUUGGGAACAGGGAUCCUUUGUGCAGACAGGUCACCUCCAUGGCCAGGCACUAAUUCCCUACUGGGUCCUAAGCUCCUGACAACUUCCAGUGGGCAUGACGAGCCGUGGGCUGCUGACCAGGAGGCUGAGGCUCCAGAGCUGAGGCUCUAGGAGCAGGGCCUCCCCCCCUGCGAUUUCCUCCCACUUGAGUUCUUCUCACCAUGUCAGACCUAGAUGCUGGACUCAGGAAAACCGAUUCGUGUAGUUUUAUCCUCGGUAGUAAGAUCUGUGGGAACCUGGGUCUGCGACACUAGUUAUAGAUCUUCCAGGAAAUACACAACUAUUUAACUUUUGCGAAGCCCAUAUGCGAACCCCUAAAGAGGCUGCAAAGCUGGAUGGCACCUGCCUCUCUUGAGGACAGGGUGAGGAAGGGUGUGGUGGGGCAAGAGACAGGUGAUGCUCACCAGUGAUUGCUAGGUAAAGACACCCCCCCCCUCUCCCUGCACCUGGUGCACACAGGGAGACAGGAGCUGUGGCUGGAGGGCCGGGGGUGCAGCAGGCCUCUGGAGUCACAUGAUGCCUGAUGAACUCCUCAUUCCCUGCUCACUAGUUGUGUGCCCUGGCCAGGGCUUGACUCUUCUCAGCUUCAUAGGUGAUGGCUCUCUGUGGGGCUACAGUGAAGGCCAGAGGCAGGGGGAGGCUAAAGCAGGGGCCCCAGAGGCCACUGUCAAUGAGAAGCGGCCACUGUUACCUCCUCCUCUCUGGAUGUCACGUGGUAUGGGACAAGAACAGGGGCUUGUAGGAAGACAAAAUGUCUGAGACCUGAUUUCACCACCUGGGUGGCAAGUCCUUUAGUCUGUUCCCUCAACUGAAAAAUGGAAAAAUAACAAACCUGCAGAGGAAUUUUGUGGCUGAAAUGACGUAAGCUCUUGGGCUGCUCAAAUUCCAUUCCCACCCCAGUCCUCCUCUUGGUUACUAUUCAGAGGACGUCAGGGUGUGGCCUCUCCCCUACUACAAGGAAACUAGGGACUCCUGUGAGCCCCCCCAAGCUGUCACCUCAACAAUCACCUGUCCACUGACUGGACGGAACCUGAAGGCUUCAGGCUGGGCAGGGGCGCCGCUAGAGGGCUCCAGGGAGCAGGGACAGGCCGCGACUGCAGUGGGUAGGUGUGGCAGCCGGGUGAAUGAAGGAAGGCAGGGACCUAGCAGCAAAGGGUGGCAAGGGGCAUCCAUGUGCUCAGGGACAGGUGAGGUGGGCAACCCUCCCCAAACCCCCCCGCCACACACACCUCAGCUACUUUAGCCGGGGGGAUCUUCCCUUCGUAGGGGCAUCCAAGCACACAGGAGACGUACCUGUGGAAGACAGGGGGAGAAGGCCAUCAGAGCCCCUGAGCUCUUCAGCCAGCAGGGCAGAGGUGGAUGGCUGUGUGACACUCAUCCCUGGCCUAUAAUCAAAACCUGUCUGGGUGGAAGACUGAUCCAGAGGCGGAGUGGAGGGAAGGAGCGUGGCCUAGUGCCAGGAGGGGGCAGUAGAGAGCCGCUGUGGGAGGGCUGGGAACUUGCAGGGGCUUCUGCAGGGGCAGAAGUGGCUGAGGAUCUACAGUGGGGGGAGGAGGAGGAGCCAGAGGGCACUGAGCAGCCCCUUGGUGUUUGGAGGGGUGGAAAAGCAGAACCAUGUGCCAAAGUUGCUGGGCCAGUACUCAGGAGACCAGGACCGGAUGAACUAAAGGCCAGAGCAGGAGCUGGGCUGGCCUCAGGGGCAAGGGAUUAGCUGCUCCAGUGUGUCGCCUCCUUCCUUCAUUCAUUUAUUCUACUGAGGUGACUACCAUGUGUCAGGCACAUGAGCGAGACCCCCGAGGUCCUCACACCCCUGGAGCUUGUUUCAGGACGGCGAGAGCCAACAGAACAGCAAUCAAAUAAGUGGCACAGAGCCUCAGGAAGCACCGCGCUAAGACGGAAACAGGAAGUGCGACAGGAGCCACUAGAGGAGGCCAAUAGUGGCAAGGGUGGCCCAGGAGGACCUCCUCAAGGCUAGGACGUUGGAGCUGAGAGAAGGGGAGGGUCUGUGGGAAGAACAUUCUAGAGACAGGAGCCAGCAGGAUGAAAACAGAACAGCGGAGGCAGAGAGAAGGGGCACAGGUGGUGGAGACGAGGUUGGAGACGGGCACGGGCGUCUUGGGUCCUGCAGGCUGUCUGAGGAGCUCGGUUUUGGGUGUUGACACUUUCCAUUCCCACCCUCCCUGUUGGGGCCCAGAUGCCUUUGAGACCUUUAGAAUGCAGCAAAGUGUUCUUCAUAUUAGGAGGUAUAAUAAACGGUUGCUGGAUUGAUAA